rnacentral:piRNA from 1 species
UCACAAUUGCUUUAUUUUGAC